UGUCGUAGCUUGCUAUGAUAAAAAUUAGUGGCAGACGGGUGAGUAAUGCAUAGGAAUCUACCUAGUAGUAUGGGAUAGCCACUAGAAAUGGUGGGUAAUACUGUAUAAUCCCUGCGGGGAAAGAUUUAUCGCUAUUAGAUGAGCCUAUGUUAGAUUAGCUAGUUGGUAGGGUAAAGGCCUACCAAGGCGGUGAUCUAUAGCUGGUCUGAGAGGAUGAUCAGCCACACUGGAACUGAGAUACGGUCCAGACUCCUACGGGAGGCAGCAGUGGGGAAUAUUGGACAAUGGGCGCAAGCCUGAUCCAGCUAUGCCGCGUGAGUGAGGAAGGCCUUAGGGUUGUAAAACUCUUUCAGUGGGGAAGAUAAUGACGGUACCCCACAGAAGA
rnacentral:rRNA from 1 species